rnacentral:rRNA from 1 species
CGAAUGGCUCAUUAUAUAAGUUAUCGUUUAUUUGAUAGUGCUUUACUACUUGGAUAACCGUGGUAAUUCUAGAGCUAAUACAUGCUAAAAGACCCGACUUUGGAAGGGUUGUAUUUAUUAGAUUAAAAACCAAUGCCCUCUGGGCUCACUGGUGAAUCAUGAUAACUUCGCGAAUCGCAUGGCCUUGUGCCGGCGAUGGCUCAUUCAAAUUUCUUCCCUAUCAACUUUCGAUGUUUGGGUAGUGGCCAAACAUGGUUGCAACGGGUAACGGAGGGUUAGGGCUCGACCCCGGAGAAGGAGCCUGAGAAACGGCUACUACAUCCAAGGAAGGCAGCAGGCGCGCAAAUUACCCAAUCCCGAUACGGGGAGGUAGUGACAAUAAAUACUGAUACAGGGCUCUUUUGGGUCUUGUAAUUGGAAUGAGUACAAUUUAAAUCCCUUAACGAGGAACAAUUAGAGGGCAAGUCUGGUGCCAGCAGCCGCGGUAAUUCCAGCUCUAAUAGCGUAUAUUAAAGUUGUUGUGGUUAAAAAGCUCGUAGUUGAACCUUGGGCCUGGCUGGCGGGUCCGCCUCACCGCGUGUACUUCGCCGGCCGGGCCUUUCCCUCUGUGGAACCCUAUGCCCUUCACUGGGUGUGGCGGGGAAACAGGACUUUUACUUUGAAAAAAUUAGAGUGCUCCAGGCAGGCCUAUGCUCGAAUAUAUUAGCAUGGAAUAAUAAAAUAGGACGUGUGGUUCUAUUUUGUUGGUUUCUAGGACCGCCGUAAUGAUUAAUAGGGACAGCCGGGGGCAUCAGUAUUCAAUUGUCAGAGGUGAAAUUCUUGGAUUUAUUGAAGACUAACUACUGCGAAAGCAUUUGCCAAGAAUGUUUUCAUUAAUCAGGAACGAAAGUUAGGGGAUCGAAGACGAUCAGAUACCGUCGUAGUCUUAACCAUAAACUAUGCCGACUAGGGAUCGGACGAUGUUAUUACUUGACUCGUUCGGCACCUUACGAGAAAUCAAAGUGCUUGGGCUCC